AUUAGCUGUGAAAGUCCGAGUUGGGAUGUCCUGGGAUAUUCCAACUCAUGGAACGUCUCUCGUCCAAUCAGAAACAGCUUAAUAACUCGAUAGAACCCAAUUGUUUUAUAAUAUGUAUAUAUAUUAUGUAUGCUAAACAUCAUACCUACCCCCCCCCCAGACUGGAUCGUCUUUUGGUCGAAAAAUGAUGACUGGAUAUCUAUCCGCAAAAGGGGUUAAAGCUUCUGAAGGCAGAGUGGGCAAUGUGUUGAGAAGUAUUCAUCAACCCUACCACAAUGCAAGACAGCAGGGUGCCCGGAAUCUGAACCCCAUACCCUACAAUGCAGAAUACAUGGGUCACAAGCUGCAUGUAGAUCAGAAUGAGAAGCUUGUUAUGUUUGGAGUGACUCAUGUUAUGGCUAUCGACCAUGCCAAUAAAGAACAACAUCGUGAUUUAUGAGGAAGUGUACCGGCCUGCUGUUCUUUCCUAUGGACUAUGGGACCAGGUCAGAGUUGACUGUGGGAAAGAAUUCUAUCUGGCUUUAUUCAUCCAGGAAAAACUGGCAGAACAUCGACACAAUACUCAAAGGCAGCCCUACCUUCAGACACCUUCUACAAGGAACCAUGUGAUAGAGAGAAUGUGGUCGGAGGUGAAUGCUCGAGUCAACUACCCUUUGAAGACAGCUCUGGUACAGCUGGUGGACAUGGAGGAACUGGACAUGGAGGACAACACAUCCAGGUAUUGUGUGUCAAACCUGACAUGCCAGCUGGCUAGGAUUGGCAUCACAAAUGUCGUACAGGCAUGGAAUGCACACAGGAUCCCAGGAAGGGGAAUACCAAACGAACUGGCUAAAGAAGGGUGUCCUGCAAAACUUUCUGAGGACCUUCUGCCAGUCGGUGCAGUUGCAGCUGACCUGUAUCAGCAGGAAAUGGGAUCAGCCUUGAAAAGAGAAUCCAUUUUUGGAAGUGAUCCUUUCCCCUCUGAAGAAGCCCAACAAUGGACUGAAACUGAGUUUGGUUCUCUCUUUGAUUUGCUAUCCCUCUACCAAAAUGUGGUUAACCAUAACUAUGGCCCUUUUAAAAAUGCAGUGAGGUCUCUGAUUGAUAUCACCUCAAGACAUGUGCGACCUGUUACACAGUGACCUGCAAUGGUCAAUGAAGAAGCAGUAUACCAAAAAUAACAUUUUAUUACAACAAUGAUAAAGUGGAAGUUGUCUUUUUUUUCUUUUCUUUUUUUUAAAACGGUCACACACAAUAUAAACAUUACAACAAACAACAUCUUUCUGGUCAUGUACCCAUAAUAACAUCCAACAAACAAACUGAGGUAGUUCCAGUAAUGUAAACAUAACAAACAAUAACAAACAAUUAUCUAUCAAAUCAAAUCAAUUUCUCUCUCCUUGAAAAGUGACAAGGCAGCAGAGAGACCCUUCACUUCAUGUAUUUUAUUUUCAAAGUCUCCUGCCCUGCAUUUCAAGCAGUGGUCUGAUGUGACUAACCACAGCUCCACACAGGUACGACAUCCAAUUAUCGAUUCACAGCAUGUGGCGAACAUGGGAUCCGCCAUUACAGCUGCAAGGUUAAAAAAAUAUAGAUUAUAAAUUGAUGCAGAAAAUAACAUUUAAUUGUUAGUUGCAAUAUAGAAGGAAAUUAACUGUAAGCAAUCAGAAGUGUGUUUUAUCGCCGAGUGAAUGUUGAAGAUGGCGAUGAACACCCGUGACAGCUGGUCAGCGCAGUGCUUGAGGGUGGCAGGCGGCUAUGUUUUGUACUGUAGAAUGACCUACUGUUACAUAUCUUACACGUACCUUUACACACAAGACAUGCAAAGGCUUCUUUUAAGGGCUGCAAACCGACAUUUGCCAUGAUCUCCUCCUUUUGAGACUUGGCCAGCUGAGGCAGCUGGUUGAUUGAAUUAGUGACCUCUUGGAGACUCCCGGCGGCUUGCUUCAGCUGGUCGUCCAAGGACCUCCUGCAGGCUUGAAUCUCCAUCCCUUCGACUUAAAUGUAUGAACAGAAAAGAAAGGAUUAAAGAUUUUUUUCAAAUGGUGCAUAUGAACAAAUGUUUGAAUAUCUUUCUGAAUAUUUUAUAAAUCUUUAUUUUACUCUGUAAAAGCGUCAACCUAUGAGACAUUGUUGUCAUAUAAUUGAACAAGGGCGUAACCAUGGUUUAGA